AACUUAACGAAAAAAAUUUUAAUCCUUCAGUUUCGACUCCGUUUGGUCACCGAAAGCUGUACCGAACUGUAAAUUUUAUCAGAUAACUGUCGGAUUUUAUUUUCCACCUUCCGGGUGUCAGAAUGGGCUGAAACUUUAAAUAUAGCCUCAUAAAAAGAAUUUUAACUUAUCCUCCAGUUUUCAUAAUUUUCUGACACUGUGUAUUUUCUGCUAAUUUAUCUGCCUCGUUUCUCACAGAAAAUUCUAAAUCUUCUAUUUUUACUUCAAUUUCAGCACAGGUCAUUCCCAACCUAUAUUUCACUUCUCUAAAUCCAAUAAAAAUAGUAUCUCAUACUAUUUUUAUUUAUUUUUACUUUUACAUUUAAAAUCUGAUAUGUUACAUUCCACCGCAACCUUACCGGAACCAUUUAAAUGUACACCGUAACUUCAUAGUUUUAGAAGUCCGGUACCUUACAUCCUCCCCUCCUUAAAAAGAGUUUCGUCCUCAAAACUCAAAUCUCAUCUCAAUUCGAGUUUUCGAGCAUCUGAAGGUAACAAUGCACUUUUGCACUCCGGAGUGGCCUUUUUCUUAUCGGAACUAUCCAAAGGCCCACUACAGAGGAUAUGAGACCAAAUUCACUCACAUUUGCUAAGCACAACACCAAAAGUGCAUUACGGUUCCACAAGUCUUGGUGGCAGCGUAAGUCGACACUUGACAACUCUAUACGCUCCAACACUACUUGCUACCGAAUCUAGGGAAUAUACUUCGAUUCGAUCACUGGCAUUGCCUAGAAGCAAUAUCAUUGGUGCAUCGACCCAUCGCAGGUGCCACUAUCACAAUCGAAUUUGCUUUACUACGAGAUGGCACCCUUCGGCACAUCUCCAAUGUUAAUCCUCCAGAGAGCAUAUUCUCAGAUCUCGUGUGGCAAUCCAAUAUCCAAGUGUCUCNUAUCGCCGAACCGACUUCGCCAACGCGUCAGAAAACCUAGCAAUUAGGUUUAUACAUGAUCAAUUUAGAUCAAACCCUCACAUAUUGCAAAAUCCUAUUUUUGAGCCCUAACAUGCAAUUACCCCCAAAUAAUCCAAAUUAAAUGGAGCAACAUGCUAAGAAUGCUCAUUAGAGGCUACUAGAACACUUAGGGUUAAGGAUUAAGCCAAAUUCCAAAAGUUUACCAAAAUGUGAACGCCAAGACGGAAGCACGCCGUUCCAACGGGCGCACGAAAGCUCGAUCCGUCGCUCCCAACGCGUUCGCAAGCUCGUUCUUUGCCAGCGCCACGAAUUUGGCUGAAAGAUCUAGAGAGAUGAGAGAGUUAUUUAGAGAGAGAAAGUGAGGAUUUCUCUCACUACCACCUUGAACGUGUGGUGUAUUGGAGGUGGUGGUGGCUGUGAAGAAGAAGAAGACUAGAAGCUUCUACUUAUAGUCAACACCCCAAUAGUAGCAUACACUAUUCACUUCAGGCAGCUCGAAAUCUGAUAUCUUUCGCCGGAGCCCUCUGAAUAUCUGUUUGAGCUCAAAUUUGACAGUCAUGUUCGGUUUUGCUUAACUUAACGAAAGAAAUUUUAAUCCUUCAGUUUCGACCCCGUUUGGUCACCGAAAGCUGUACCGAACUUAAUAUUUAUCAGAUAACUGUCGGAUUUUAUUUUCCACCUUCUGGGUGUCAGAAUGGGCUGAAACUUUAAAUAUAGCCUCAUAAAAAUAAUUCUAACUUAUCCUCCAAUUUUUAUGAUUUUCUGACACUGUGCAUUUUCUAAUAAUUUAUCUGCCUCGUUUCACACAGAAAAUUCUAAAUAUUCUGUUUUCGCUCCGAUUUUAGCACAGGUCAUUCCCAACCUAUAUUUCACUUCUCUAAAUCCAAAUAAAAAUAGUAUCUCAUACUAUUUUUAUUUAUUUUCACUUUUAUAUUUAAAAUCCGGUAUGUUACAUUCCACCGCAACCUCACCGGAACUAUUUAAAUGUACACCGUAACUUCAUAGUUUUAGAAAUCCGGUACCUUACAUCCUCCCCUCCUUAAAAAGAGUUUCGUCCUCGAAACUCAAAUCUCA
rnacentral:lncRNA from 1 species